GACCUAGUGGUGUAGUGGUAACAUUUCAUGAAGUGCCCAGUUGUGCUGUCUUCCCAUACUUCAGUAGAGGACCCCUGUUCAACUCAGGGCUAGGUCA